rnacentral:sRNA from 1 species
AUUUAGCCCCGAUAGCAGUGGAAAUCCUUUUUUGUCCGCUGCGGCGGACAAAAAAGAUUGAAACGAAUAGCGGGACAGAUC